rnacentral:tRNA from 1 species
GGGGCAGUAGCUCAAUUGGGAGAGCGCAGCGUUCGCAAUGCUGAGGUCGUGGGUUCGACCCCCAUCUGCUCCA